UCAGUUACAAUACCUGUAUUUUAUUACCUUCAUUUUGAAAAAAAAACAAUGUACAAAAAUAUGGAUAGCAAUUCAGCUGGAUUUAUUUUUCAGAUGCAGCAAUAUUACAAAGGACUAGCAUAAUGUUCUUUUGCUUUAUCUCUUUUGAUUAUUUGUGGUUGCUCAACUAUAACAGAAGUAUCAAAUUUCCCCUUAUACUCGAAAAGACAAGAAAGACUUUAUGUUGUCGUCUUUUGCGGGGGUAUAACUGGGGUUCAAUUUGAAGGGGGGUGGGGGUGGCCUGUUAUUUAGGAACCUCAUUAUCACUCAGUGGGGUUUUGACAAACAAACAAACAAUACCUUUUUGGGGGCUUCUCUGAUGUGAUUACCUUAACCCCCAACUUUAGCAUCAAAAGAUAGUUUAGACGAUCCCCAUUUACUGUUGAGAUUGUCUCAACGAGAGUUGGGACCAAUGCUAUACAUGUAUAUGAAACAGGGACACAGGGAAUAUCAUAGGCUUUGAAUUGAGGGUCAUGUGCAUAAAAGCAAUUAGCAGAUAUUGGAUAAUGGCCAAAGGAUAAUGGAUAAAGAAUAUUUAUCCUUUCGGUCAAAAGUCAAAACAAGUCAAACUUUCACAAAAUUUCAACAAUUUCACUUUGUGUUUUGUAAAACACCCCUCUGGCCAGUGGCCAAGUCUAUGGCAUGUGUCUCAUAGUGCUAAAAGUGUGCCCAUAGUGCUAAAAAUCUCCUUAAAUGGAAAUUGGCAUGCAUGCGGGGCGGGUACUGUGCGAUGCAGCGCAAAACUCAGUGGUGCAAAAAGAAAGUGUUUAAAACCAGCUGGUGCUUUAUCAGCAGUUUAAAACCAGCCAGGAGAUGGACUCUCAGUCAAUAGGAAUGGGUAAACUGUCUUAGGUCAGUCGGGGCACAGGAAUUUAAAUCUUCUUGAUAGAUCAGGGUCAGUGGAAGAGUAUUGUGCAAGGAGCAGAAAGCAGUUAUGGCUAGAAACCCUGCUGAAUGCAGCAUCAUGCAGCACUUGCCAAAAUGACAAGCCUGUCCAAUGUAGCAAGAUCCCUGAAG